rnacentral:rRNA from 1 species
GACGAACGCUGGCGGCGUGCCUAAUACAUGCAAGUUGAGCGAUGAAGCUUGGUGCUUGCACCAAUUUGAAGAGCAGCGAACGGGUGAGUAACGCGUGGGGAAUCUGCCUUUGAGCGGGGGACAACAUUUGGAAACGAAUGCUAAUACCGCAUAACAACUUUAAACAUAAGUUUUAAGUUUGAAAGAUGCAAUUGCAUCACUCAAAGAUGAUCCCGCGUUGUAUUAGCUAGUUGGUGAGGUAAAGGCUCACCAAGGCGAUGAUACAUAGCCGACCUGAGAGGGUGAUCGGCCACAUUGGGACUGAGACACGGCCCAAACUCCUACGGGAGGCAGCAGUAGGGAAUCUUCGGCAAUGGACGAAAGUCUGACCGAGCAACGCCGCGUGAGUGAAGAAGGGUUUCGGAUCGUAAAACUCUGUUGGUAGAGAAGAACGUUGGUGGGAGUGGAAAGCUCAUCAAGUGACGGUAACUACCCAGAAAGGGACGGCUAACUACGUG